AUUUCCUUCAUCGUAUUCUACAUACAAAUGUUGUGCGACUCAGGAAUGGAUCGUUGAAAGUUGGAAUUCAUACGGCCAAAUGCUUCCGAACCAAAAAUAGGAAUGUUAAAAUUACCGUAUGAAAAUGUACACAACGGACCCAUGACACCAAAUGGCAUGUUCCAAUUUCAGUGGCGAAAUGACGAAUACACGUGGAAAACACUCGAAUUUGGUUCCAUUAAGUGCUAAUUUGACACCAAGUCCAAGAUCAACAAAAAUCUUGAUUUAUCGAUCACAUUGCCUUUCAUCGUGUCUCAUUGAAAACGACCCAGGCAAGAAUCGACUGGCAAUACUGGAUGAUGUGUGUUGGCUACCGUUUUCUGAUAACAA